AUACGUAGGGGGCGAGCGUUGUCCGGAAUUAUUGGGCGUAAAGCGCGCGCAGGCGGUCCCUUAAGUCUGAUGUGAAAGCCCACGGCUCAACCGUGGAGGGUCAUUGGAAACUGGGGGACUUGAGUGCAGAAGAGGAGAGCGGCAUUCCACGUGUAGCGGUGAAAUGCGUAGAGAUGUGGAGGAACACCAGUGGCGAAGGCGGCUCUCUGGUCUGUAACUGACGCUGAGGCGCGAAAGCGUGGGGAGCAAACAGGAUUAGAUACCCUGGUAGUCCACGCCGUAAACGAUGAGUGCUAAGUGUUAGAGGGGUUAAACCCUUUAGUGCUGUAGCUAACGCGUUAAGCACUCCGCCCGGGGAGUACGGCCGCAAGGCUGAA
rnacentral:rRNA from 1 species